rnacentral:miRNA from 18 species
UGGCCUCUGAGGUUCCUUCCAACU